UUAUGUUAUGGAGAUGUAAUUUAUUAAUAUUAUUUAACAAGUAAUGAUUUUUAGUAUUUUAGUACAAGCAUGUCCCAUGCAACAUUUGUAAUAUAUAACUAAAAUAUAUAUUUUGUUUUCAUAAAUAAUAGAUAGUAUUCAUUAAACAAUAAAUAUUUUGGAGUGGGGGCAUAGCUCAGUGGUAGAGGGCUUGCCUAGCAUGUGAGAGGCCCUGGGUUUGAUCCCCAGCACCACAAAUAAUUAAAUAUUUUGGGCUGGCACAGUGGUGCAGGCCUAUAAUUCCAGUGAUGGGGAAGGCUGAGAUGGGAGGAUGCAAGUGUGAGGGCAGCCUCGGCAAAUUAGUGACACCCUCAGCAAUUUAGUGAGGCCCUGUCUCAAAGGAAAAAUUUUUAAACAAUAAAAAGGGCCGGGGAUGUAGCUCAGUGGUGAAGCACCCUGGUUUAAAUCCCCAGUACCCAAAUAAAUAAAUGAAUAUUUCGUUUUAAUGCGGAAUGUCCUGGGUUUAGUAAACUUAAUAAGCAUCUUAGCGUGAGUGUAUCCCAGGUAGCACUGGGGAUGUAAUUGCACCGAGCAGUUCCUCCCUGGGACGGAUGCGCACGCCUGCUGGGGAGACCAGUCACCUAGAGCGGCUCUGCGCCCCACCCGCCACUGGCCUGCACCCUGCACGCUGACCUGUAGUCCUCCCGGGUGGCGAUGAGGCUGGACACGUUGCGCAGGAUGCCGCCGCCACUCUCAAUGACCGCCAGGGAGUUGCCCUGGCACCGGUAGGUGAGCGUGCUCACCAGGAAGCCUAGGGCGCCAUCCACCUGGCAGAUGGCUGCCUUGUUCUCCGUGCUGUGGGCGGACAGGUUCCACAGGGCGCUGAGCACGCUCUUCAGGGUGGACUCCUGGGCACGGGUGGGCGGAGUCAGCACGGCCACGCCCCUGCCUCCCCGAGGCAGGCGGGGGAGGUUUCCAGGAGCAGUAAGGAUCAUAAACUCGGCUCCAGGGCCCUCUGAACCACAGGGCUGGCCCCUGCAGGUCCAGCUGUGGCUGGACCACGGCCUGAGCAAGGUUGGCUUGACCCACCCUGGACAGGCCAGGGCUCAUUGCUGGUGGCCAGUGACCCCUUCCCCGUGCCCACCUUAGAGGCCCGCAGGACACACUGCAUCAAGGCGGUCAUGCUGCCGACCUCCCGCAGCACCUUCUUGCUGUUGAUGUCCGCCCUCCAGGACAGGUUGCGCAGGAUGCUGGACACCACCUGGGGCGGGUUGAGGGCAGACACGGUGGGACCCAGGCAGGCACAUCCCGAGCCAACCUGGGGCCGGAGCAGGUAGAGAGCAGGCCUGCUGGCCCUGGCCCUGGGCGUGGCCACGCAUGCCCCACCCACCUGGUGCAGCUCCUCACUGUCGGAGUCCAGCUGGGCCACGAUGGCCUCCAUGCAGCCCCGGCGGGCACACAGGGUGGCCUGUUGGGGCGACACAGGACAGUCAACCUCACAGCCACCAGGCAGGGCCAUGAGGAAGACCCCGUCCCCAGCUGCACCUCACUGCCAAGGCGCGAAGCACGGAUCUGCAAGGGAGAAAACAUGUUGCACCGAGGCGCACAAGGGCUCCCCCUGCCCCCCGCCCUGACUCCGCCUCCACCUGGACCCUGGCCCUGACUCCGCCUCCUGAGCCAGGCCCCGUCCUCAGAAGUCGGCUCUCCGAGUCCUCCUGGGGCACCAGACUCCGCCCAUGGACGCAGCCCCGCCCGCAGUCAUCUCUGCCCUCGGACUCGCCCACUGGCAGGCAGCCUCGCCCCCUCUGGAGCCGCAACCAGGCUGCACCUGGGCGCGCUGCACCAUCUCGUCGGAGGUGCCGAAGCGCUCCUCCAUCAGCGAGCGGAUGUGCUGUGCCUCGAACUCCAGCUGCUGCCGGAUCAGGUCCAUCUGCAUCGAGAACUGCUGGGAAAGGUGGGCGGGCUGCCUGAGGGGUGCCCGAGAGAGGAGCCAGGGUCUCCCCACGGCUCCCCUGCCCUGGGCGGCCGGGCACCCCUGUCCAGCUCACCGUCUCCACGUGCGGUAGCUCGUCCAGGCGCUUGGACAGGCCCUGAAGCUUUCCUCCAGCAACCGGAUGGUGGCCCGGCUCAGCUCCCCGAAGCUGUCCUUGGAUGGCCCGGAGCCGUGGACUGGGCUUCCCUCUGGGGUCCGGGGAGUGGGCUCUGGGCCCAAGGCGGGUGGCUGGAACUUGAGGUUGUACAAGCUGGCGAUGUCCAUUUGGAGAGCUGGGUGGGCAGGAGCACCAGGACGGAGGUCAGCGCCCCUCCUGCCGCCCAGGCCCCGCUGCUCUGGAGGAGGACCCAGCACACCGCUCACCUUUCAGCUGCUGCAGCACCUCGGUCUGCCCGGAGGACACCAGCACCCGGGCCUCCUGCUCCAGCUUGCCCUCUAGGUGUUUCAGGACCUCCUGCCGGGGUGAAACUGAGGCCCAGGGGCAAACAGACCCAGUGAGGAAGUGGACAGGUGUGAAUGGAACCCAGACCCUCUGGGCGAAGUGCUUACAAGUCAAGCCCGGCUGAGCAGGAGGAGACCAACCCUGCUCCAGGCCUUGGUUUGCCCAUCUGAGGGGAAGCCGGGCUGCCUGCCCAUUGGAAGGGCUAGAGCAGGGUCAGGUGGGAGGGUUACGGGGCAGAAAGGCCAGUCAGAAUGGAGACAGCCUGGGACCACGGCCUCACCCUGAAACUGAGCAUGUCCCAGGCUCAGUCAGGGGGCAGCUGUGGAUCCGCCUGGAGGGGCCACACAGAUGGAGCCUGGGUCUGGCUCCAGCCGGGCCCUGGUGCCAGCCACCACACCAUGCCCAGCCAAGUAGAGACAGAGGAAGCACAAAGCCUGGCAGAGACCCUCACCUGCACACCCAGACUCCUCCCCAAACUGGCUCUUCCCAGAGGGGCCAGGCACAGCCGGCACCCUCACCAGAUGCCUGACCGCAGGGCAUCAGAUGCCACCCCAGCCCAGCUCUGCCCAGCUGGACCCUCUCCCCAGCCCCAACACUCCUCUGACUUUGGCCUCCCACAAUCCACUCCUGCACAACCAGAGGGAGCUUUGAAAGCCACGAAUCAUAAGCCAUCUCUCCUGGGCCCACAGACUUCCCUUGGUUCACCACUGCCCCAGGAGCAGACCCGCCUCCUUCAUGAACACCUGCUCCCAGGAAACGCCGUGCUGCUUCCUUCAGACUUUUGAGCAUGCAAUCUCCUGCCUGCAGCGUGCUUCCUGAAUGCUGCAUCCUGUGCCUUCCUCCAGGAAGCCCUCCUGCCUGCCCCACACUGCCAAGUUGUCAGUUGGCCUCCUUGGGGCUUGAGGCCACCAAAGGGAAAGCACCAAUAACUGGGGUGGAUGCAACUGAGCCACCUUCAGGUCAGGGUGGCACAGGUGCAAAAGCCAGGCCCAAAGGGGCCCAUAUCAUUUCUUUAAUCCAAACCCCAAAGAGGUAAACCUGCUGCCCAGAAAGGUGUGGCAACACCCGCAGGGCACACAGCAGCCUGCCCAGACUCCCGCCCACCCCUUGCCUCCUCUCACGGGCGGCGUGGACGCCGUGAGUGGGUGUGUGCCGCUGCGGUACACCUCCCGGGACUCAGCGUGCCCUCUCGCUCCCACUUAGGAGUAAGAGGUUUGACUCUGCGCUGGAGGCCGGCAGGGGUGCGGCCCCGCGGCGGGGAUCUGGUAGCCUGCCCUGCUGGGGGCACGCACCUGCUUACUUGUAGCUGAGUCGGCUGUGGCUCCUGGGCCUGGGGCCUCCUCCCUUCGCGCAGCUCCGCGGACCCCGCCGGAAAUCCCAGCCUGGGGUGGCCACGCGCGGUCAAGGGGCUCCCGGACGGACAAAGCCUGAUCCAGGCCUGGCCAGGCGGUGCCGCGGCUCCGGGCGCUGGGCGAGACCACAGCAAGCGGGGGAGGAUGCGGGAUGCGGGAUGCAGGCGCAGCGGCCAAUGGCAGCACGGGAAGACGGGCUGAUGCCAUGGCAACAGCCAAUGGUGGCCCGGGGCGGGGACCCGCGACGGCCGCCGCGCAUCGGGCCUCCACUGUGGCUCAAGGACUGCGUGUACGUGUACGAGGGGUGGGGUGGGUGAACCCCUCCCAAGGGAAGGGGGCGUCCCGGGCUCCAGGACUCCAAUGUCCCCCUCAUUGCAAGAAGAAACAGUGUCAAACCUGCCAGCUGCUGGAGACGCAGAGUUUGAGUAAAACACCAAA